GAUGAACGCUGGCGGCGUGCUUAACACAUGCAAGUCGAACGGAAAGGCCCUGCUUUUGUGGGGUGCUCGAGUGGCGAACGGGUGAGUAACACGUGAGUAACCUGCCCUUGUCUUUGGGAUAACUUUAGGAAACUGGGGCUAUUAUCGGAUAGGAGCUCCUGCUGCAUGGUGGGGGUUGGAAAGUUUCGGCGGUAGUGGAUGGACUCGCGGGUUAUCAGCUGGUUGGUGGGGUAGGGGCUUUCGAAGGUUGCGAAGGGUAGGCGGCCUGAGAGGUUUGACGGGGACAUGGGGACUAAGGGACGGAGCAGUAGGGUAUGGGAGGCAGCAGGCGAGAGUAUUGCACAGCGAGCGGGAGCCAGAGACAGAGGCGUCGCGAGCGGAAUGACGGCCUACGGGGUAUAAACAGCUUUCGCAGGUGACGAAGCGUGAGUGACGGUAAUGGGUAAAGAAGCACCGGCUAACUACGUG
rnacentral:rRNA from 1 species